UACGUAGGGGGCAAGCGUUGUCCGGAAUCAUUGGGCGUAAGGCGCGUGUAGGCGGCUCGGUAAGUCCGCUCUGAAAGUCCAGGGCUCAACCCUGGGAUGCGGGUGGAUACUGCCGAGCUCGAGUCCGGAAGAGGCGAGUGGAAUUCCUGGUGUAGCGGUGAAAUGCGCAGAUAUCAGGAGGAACACCAAUGGCGAAGGCAGCUCGCUGGGACGUGACUGACGCUGAGACGCGAAAGCGUGGGGAGCAAACAGG
rnacentral:rRNA from 1 species